rnacentral:lncRNA from 1 species
GUUUUCCCGGCUAGGCUCUGGAGCGGCGGGCGCGGCGCGAUGCGCGGGUACCCGGGAGCGAACGGCUGCAAGCCCCGAUGAAGCUCGAGCAGCCCCAGCCUGAUGGAGGCGCCUCCGUGGGAGCCGGUGCGCAAUGACUCCCUGCCUCCCACGCUGAGCCCCGCGGUGCCGCCCUACGUGAAGCUCGGCCUCACCGCGGUCUACAACCGUCUUCUACGCGCUCCUCUUCGUGUUCAUCUAUGCGCAGCUCUGGCUGGUGCUGCGCUACCGUCACAAGCGGCUCAGCUACCAGAGCGUCUUCCUCUUCCUUUGCCUCUUCUGGGCCUCGCUGCGUACCGUGCUCUUCUCCUUUUACUUCCGAGACUUCGUGGCAGCCAACUCGUUCAGCCCCUUCGUCUUCUGGCUGCUCUACUGCUUCCCCGUGUGUCUACAGUUCUUCACCCUCACGCUCAUGAACUUGUACUUCACGCAGGUUACCCCUCUACCUGGCCUCACUUUUCAUCAGCCUCGUUUUCCUGUUGGUGAAUCUGACCUGUGCUGUGCUGGUGAAGACGGGAGACUGGGACAGGAAGGUUAUCGUCUCUGUGAGAGUGGCCAUCAAUGACACACUCUUUGUGCUGUGUGCUAUCUCUCUCUCCAUCUGCCUCUACAAAAUCUCCAAGAUGUCCCUGGCGAACAUCUACUUGGAGUCAAAGGGCUCAUCAGUGUGUCAGGUAACUGCCAUUGGUGUCACCGUCAUCUUGCUCUACGCCUCUCGGGCCUGCUACAACCUGUUCAUCUUGUCAUUUUCUCAGAUCAAGAACGUCCAUUCCUUUGAUUAUGACUGGUACAAUGUAUCCGACCAGGCAGAUCUGAAGAGCCAGCUGGGUGAUGCCGGCUACGUAGUGUUUGGCGUGGUGCUUUUCGUGUGGGAGCUCCUACCCACCACCUUGGUGGUUUAUUUCUUUCGAGUCAGAAAUCCCACGAAGGAUCUUACCAAUCCUGGGAUGGUCCCCAGCCAUGGAUUCAGUCCCAGAUCUUACUUCUUUGACAACCCCCGAAGAUAUGACAGUGAUGAUGACCUUGCCUGGAACAUUGCCCCUCAGGGACUUCAGGGAAGGACCUCUCCGAGCCUACCCAGAGAGAGCCAGGGCAUGUGCUGCUCCACUCACUCACUGGAACGUGAUCUGGGACAUCCAGGCAGACCUCUUGGAUCCUCUUCUAAAGCCAGAGAAUAUAUGAACAAUUAUCACUAGAGUGAAUAUAUUAUAAGAACCAAAAAUUGAAAUUUGUCAUUCUUAACCAAUUAUUUCCUAAGAUACUGACAAGUGUCAUCUCGUUCAUUGUUUGCUACAGUCCCGUGAGUUUUGCUCCAGACUACUGUGAUUGGGGACAACAAAAUAACAGCUUCCUGGCACAAGCAGGAACUUUGCAUCAAGACUCCACUUUGGAUCCAGACAAAGCAAGCCAAGGGUAGCAGCAGCUGACACAGCCCUAUGGAAGAGUUCUCUGUUGACAGCCUUCAGCCAGACAGACCGGAUGACAGCUGAGUUGCUAAGGCAGUUUUCCUUAGGAAACAGAACUCUAGUUUUUGCUAUAGCUUUCUCAUGGCUCCACAGGGCUAAGCAAUAAUUUAGAGCAAUAAACCCUUUAGUACUAGCAGAGAAUCUGGCUAUUUCAGUGGGUAUAAUUUAAACUUAUAAAAGAGAUUCUGUACUUUUAUAAAGAUGUAUUUUAUAUAACUUAAAUACUAAUGCUAAAGUAUACUAGGUUUUUCCUUGAUUGUUAAUUUGUUAAUUGCAACGUAUGUUGUAGUUUGCACAGACUUUCACGCAGAAUUCACUUUAAAACGUAUAGAAUGCGUGGUCUAAUAGUUUAAAGCUUUGGGAAAACUUUCCACAAAUCUUACCUCUGAAGGUUCCUCUUGUGAGUGCCACGUGGUGGGCUCCUUUCACCGCCACUCAAGCAUUCCAAGUUAAGGGGAAGCAGAGUACCACGGUCUGUACGUAACAGGCUCAGCAGCAGCAAUUUCUCGUAAACUCUGUCCUAAGCCUGGUCCUUCUUCAUCUGAAAGCACUACUACAAGCACUCCAGUAACAAGUGGAUACUGUUAAGAUGUAGUUGCUGACACUAUUAAACCUCCUCUGCUGUGUGUG